GGGUAAAGAAGAUCCGGGAGUGUGGCUGGUAAUGCAGUAUUCAUUUAAUUGGGAGCAGACGGGCAGGAGAGGAUGCAGGAGACUGUACAAAGUUCAAGAAACGAUAUGCUUUAAUCAAGGAUGGUAUAAUGUGAUGUUCUGACCAACAACGUAUGAGGAUGUGUUUCUUCACAACCUCACUAGCAGGGUGUAUGGUGAAGCUUUGGAUUUCUGUCAACUUGAUAAGGAAGAAAUGGUAAAAUGGAUGGAACAUCAGACAGCUCAUUAUAGAGACAAGUAAGCUCCAGUUCCAAAGUUGGUUGACAGAACAAGUCAUGACCUUGUGUGGAGGAAAAUGAGAUCCCGAGUGAAGUCUACAAUGUCAUUGACUCUGAAGAAGGACUCAGAGACCCAUUGGUGUUUAAUGACCCUUACUGGCCUAUGCAAUGGAAACUGGUAUGAUCUUCAGAAAUAGAUGGUUCUUUGGCAGUGUUAAGAAAUAUUAUUUUUGUCAUGUUCUAAUGCAGUAGAUAGGCACUUUUAUGCACUGCCUGCUUUUAUCUAUUGGUUUUGCAGAGAGAGACUUAGCAAACUUUUGAUGAAAUAUUACUGCCAUCUUAUUAAUGAACACUAAUCCUUUUAAUUUGAUUACAUCCUUAGGGUUUGAUUUAAUCUAUAAAAGACACCAGUAAAAACCCCAAGAUAUUUAAAUUUGGUGUGUGUAAACAGACUCAUUACAUAGAAAUGUUGUUGCCAUUCAGGCUUGAAGUUUUUGUUCUUGCAUAACUUAGAAUAUAUUCUAUAUUACAUCAAUACUGAGAGAACUUGUCUUUAUGGAUUAAGUGGAUGUUAGAACAUUGCCCAACAGACUUUUUUUCAUAAUGCUUAUUUUGUUGGACCUUUUAGUAUCACAUUGCCCUCCCAUUUAUAUAAGACGGUAAUAAUGAAAAGGUUUGAGAAAAGCACCCUUAAUUUUGAAUGCAAAUAAGUUUAAAAAAAUGAUGUACAUACCAUGGAAAAUUUUAUAAGGAAACAUUUAAAAUGUGAAGAUAACUUGGUGAUAAUAUUGGAGAGAAAUUACAACCUUAUUAUAUGCAUAAUUAGUUCUUCAUAGGUCUGCAGAUUAUAUUGUGUUGUAGAGGGUCCAAUGUUGCAAAAUGAGGAAAAGGUUAGGUGCAUUUUAUCAUUUUAAGGGCCAUGAUGAGAUAAAACAUGGUAAGCUGUUGUGCUGGCUCUUUUUAUGUUGAUCAUUGGCAGUUACCAAGCUGACUAUCUGACAUGAGCUGAAAACCUAUGUUGAAAAAAUGUCCAGUUCCAUUUUAUGUAGCUUCAACUCAUCUUUAAAAAAUGAAGUGAUUUAGAACACAUGUCACGCACUCCUGGGCCAGCCAGCUUCCCUUUCUCUCCUCGUAUGUAAUAUCUUUUUUUCCCCUUUCUAGCAAGUACUUUCAAAAGAACUCUGUACAUUUUAACAUAAAAAAUAAAUUAUGUUGGGCCAUUUUGGAAAAAAAAUACUUAUUUGGCUAAAUUUAACAUUUCAAACAAAUAAAAAAUUCAAGCAGAAAAUAA
ensembl:lncRNA novel transcript